AUGGCCACAGCUGGAGGGUGCAGGGGAGAUACAAAUUAUUAUUGUUGUUAUUUAUUAUUUAUUGUUCUUGAUCACAACUUGGUUCCAACCUCGGAGGGAAUUAUUCAAACAUGCAGGGCCCGUCCUUCAGCAAACACCAGGACAACUGUGACUUCCUCGGCUUGGGAGGUGCACUGGUUGCUGGGUGUGGAUUUGGUGGAGGACAAUGGGCCAAGGACAGAGAUGUCCAGGGUAUGGUGAACCCCUGUUGACCGAUGGGACACUGUAACGUGAGGAGCAGCCCUGCCUAGGACACCCC
rnacentral:lncRNA from 1 species